rnacentral:lncRNA from 1 species
AGAAAAAUUAAAGAUUUUAAUUGAGUACAUCAUUGGAUUUGAAUUGAGAUGUAAAAAAGAUGAUGAAUCUAGCACCAAGUUCUCUUUUUGCCUCCAAUCUUAAUUUCAAAUUCUAGCUCUUGAUUUCUUGUUUUCCUCCAUUUUGAUUUUUUCUCGAAUUUCCAAGUUGUAUCUUGUGCCUCUCAAUGUGUAGAAUCCCUUUUUAAGUGUCAUCAUUCUUCUAUUUAUACUCCCCUUCACUUUUUUUCUUUCUUUUUUUUUUUUUUCCAAAUUUGAAGUCUUUCUAUGCUUUUCACAAGCUAAAAUGGUGCAAAAUCUAAAAUGUGUAGCGCGGCACUCUACACGGCUGCGUAGCACUUCUAGGUAACACCUAGGCGUUGGAGAGAUGAAACCUAGAUGCUACCUUUUUGCUCCUUUGCUGGUCCUUCGUGAUGCCUGGCGCCAUGUUAGUGUCUCUAAUAGCCUUUUGUAGCGCCUGGGUGCCAUGUUGCUGCUAUGGAUUUCUGUUUGGCAUUCCCAGUAUGGUGCUUGAGCCCUUGCUUUCUACUUAUUUUCCUUAGUUUUUUGCUUGUUUCUUAACUUUAACAUCCCUUUUACACCACUUCACCCACCUAUAAAACAACUCUAGCAAAUAUAUCAAAAUAUUCUGUACUCAUAAGAUCUCGCAAAUAAUCAAAUUAAAAUUGUGUAAACUUGUAAGUAAAAACACACUCGUUAUGCAGCCUCUCGAGGCUGUACUAAAGAAACGAGAGAGCAUCUUUGUGUCUUUCUUAUGAGACUCUAGGUAUUAGGGGAUGUUUACAUUGGAAGAGGUGGAAGGAGAUUUGCCAUCCAAUAUAACGGUAGGCUUCAGGAGAUUAUAGGAUAUAGUGGACACCUUCUUUAUGAAGCUCUAUUAGUUUUUCUAACCAUAGAGAUUGCUUUGGGCUCAAUUUUUAUUGGGCGAAAACUGUAUGGGAAUACACCUAUUUAGCCUUCUUCGUCUAGAAAUAAUUGAAGCUCAUCAAGUCAUAGACUGAGUCACACAUUACGUGGCACCUUAGUUCUAGCCAGGUAUUCUUUUAGCAUAAUUGUUGGUUGGACACUACCUUGGCGUCUUUAAUCCUAAACAAGCAACAUAUAUCUAAUAGGGUGCAAGAUUUCUUUGAUAGUACUGGAUUGAACAUUGGAUGAUUAUUGUAGGUUCUUCCACCAUUCAUGGAGUAGAUCGAAACUAUUCCUUCAUGUACUCACGCCCCAAAUCGUAUUGUUUGGAAAGAUACCUCUGGUGGUAACUUUACUACCAAGUUAGUUGGCAGUUAGGUUGUUCGGGUUGUCAGCCUUAGGACUCAUGCCGUUUGCUGUGGACCACCAUAUUACCUACCACUAUUUCUUUCUUCUACUAGAGACUAUGGCAAGAUAUAAUUUCAGUGAAC